rnacentral:misc_RNA from 1 species
GGGCUUUCUCUCUCCUCUCUCUUCUUUCAUAUUCUCUAUCUGUCUUUCUCUCUCAGGUUUCUCUCUCCUCUCUCUUUCUCUCUCCAGAAGGGCAAAACCCUAAAGAGCCGUUUACACCCCCCCAAUUUUCAUGGAUGACGAUGCACUAAACAUGCGCAAUUGGGGUUAUUAUGAACCGACCUUUAAGGGGAAUCUCGGUCUGCAGCUCAUGUCGAGCAUGGCAGACCGUGACACAAAGCAUUUCCUACCCGGGCGUGAUCCUAAUAACAUCAUGGUUGGUCCCAACGGAGCUUUUCAUCCACGUGAUUGUGUGGUUUCAGAUGCCUCUGUCCCUAUGAACUAUGUAAGAGACAGUUGGAUAAGCCAGAGGGAGAAGUUUUUGAACAUGUUACCUCCAAAUCCUAAUUAUGCUGUUCUCCCAGAAACAUCUGGAGCUCACUCCAUGCAAGUUUUACAGCCACCCAAUUCAUCUAGGGAUGAGAAGGUGCCUAGGAUUGAGGAGCCAAGCGUAAACAAGGAAGGGAAUCAGUUGAAGAAAAGACAAGGUGGGGGUACCCCAAAAA